CAGCCGCCACGGGAAUACCAGCACCUCGAGUGGUCAGGAGGUUUAUUGGGCCUAAAGCACCCGUAGCCGGUUGCAUAAGUUUUCGGUCAAAUCUAUGCGCUUAACGUAUAGGCCGCCGAAAAUACUGUGCAGCUAGGGAGUGGGAGAGGUACACGGUACUCGAUAGGAAGGGGUAAAAUCCUUUGAUCUAUUGAUGACCACCUGUGGCGAAGGCGGUGUACCAGAACACGUUCGACGGUGAGGGAUGAAAGCUGGGGGAGCAAACCGGAUUAGAUACCCCAGUAGUCCCUGUCUCUUAUAA
rnacentral:rRNA from 1 species